rnacentral:rRNA from 1 species
AUGAGAGCCCUCCUCUCCCUCUCCAAGCUUGCCCGUCGUCUCCCCACCUCCCUGGCCGCCACCAGGGUCGCCCCGCCCCUCCUCCAACGGCACCUUCACGCCGACUCCGCACUUCCUCCUCAAGCUCCGCCCCCUUUUGCCUCCCGCAUCCUCCAAUCCGAAGAGAGCCCGGACCCGAGCACUGAUUUGGAACAUGCUCAGCCGGCCCCCGACCCUGUCCUCGAUGAGUUUCUCGCCCGCUUGGUCACCGCGCUCCGUCCGACACUUGCGGCCGCCUUCCCCACCCACACCCGCCCCGUGCUCGACGAAAUGCUUCGUCUUAUCGCGGAGGCCGUCCUCAACCGCCUCUCCGGAGCCGAUCCGGGGCCAGACACCGUCGAGCUCAGCGACGACCUCUGGGCGGCGGUGUGGGAGGUCAGCGCCUCCGUGCGCGAGGCCAUGCGCCGGGACCAGGUCCGCGCCGACCUCCGUAACUACCUCCACUCCGACGAUGUCAAGGAGAUGACGCGGUUCGCCGUCGACGUAGGCAUCCGCGGCGCUAUGCUCCGCGAGCUGCGCUUCAAGUGGGCCCGCGAGAAGCUCGAGGAGGUCGAAUUCUACCGCGGCCUGGAGGUUAUGCGCCAACAGGCUGAUGCGGCUGAUAGCCCUGCGGCACCCCCGCCGGCGAGGCUAACCGCGUUGCCGCAGAGGAAGGGGGAGGUUAAGUUCAAGAUCUCUGGGUUGGACUUGUCAGACCCAAAGUGGGCUGAGGUGGCUGAGCGGGCAGCUGAAGCUGAGGCACACUUUGUGCCGGAGGAGGCCAAGGCUGUAGAUGGGAAGGCAAAGAAGGCCGAGGAGCAACUGCUGGCGACUGAGCCGAGGAAAGGCAACCCAGUUCCUGCCAUGGAGGAGUGGAAGGAGGAGCUCCGACCAAAGCGCGUUGACUGGAUGGCACUCCUCGAGCGGGUUAAGGCCCGCAAUGUUGAGUUGUAUCUCAAGGUUGCUGAAAUUCUUUUGGAUGAAGAUUCAUUUGCUGCAACUAUCCGAGAUUACUCCAAGUUAAUUGAUCUUCACUCUAAAGCAACUCACGUGCAAGAUGUAGAAAGGAUACUUGGUAAAAUGAAAGAGAAGGAUAUUGCACCUGAUAUCCUCACAUCCAUCACCUUAGUCCACAUGUACAGCAAAUCUGGCAAUCUUGAACAAGCCACGCGGGCGUUUGACUUUAUCCAAAAGGAGGGCCUCCAACCAGAUACAAAACUCUUUACAUCAAUGAUUAGUGCCUGUAUUAACGCUGGAGAUCCGAAACAAGCAGAGAAAUUGGUAAGGAAUAUGGAUGAGCUUUCCAUGAAACCCAACAGGGAAAUAUACAUGGAUGUGAUGCGGGCAUAUGCUGAGCGUAACUUAGUAGAUGGAGCUCAAUCGAUAAAAACAAAAAUGUCAUUCGCUGGAAUCGAGCCCCCAUUGGAGUGCUUCACAUUGCUUAUAGAAGCAUAUGGACGGGCUGGCAACCCUGAUUAUGCAUAUGAAGCGUUUGAACAGAUGAGGAAGAAUGGGCAUGAACCAGAUGACCGUUGCCUGGCUGGUAUGAUUACUGCACUCAUGAAGAAGAACCAGCUGGACCAGGCUUUGAAGUUGCUGCUGAGUUUAGAGAAGGAGGGGGUUAAACCUGGAGUUAAGACAAAUCUGGUCCUGCUGGAUUGGCUGUCCAUGUUGCAGUUGGUGCAAGAGGCUGAACAACUUGUACAAAAGAUAAGAAAGGCGGGAGAAGAGCCCCUAGAGAUCCAUGUUUACCUUGCUGAUAUGUAUGCGAAAUCACGCCAGGAAGAGAAAGCCCGCAAAUCCCUCAAGAUCUUGGAAGAGAAGAAGAGACUGCUGAAGGCUGAUCAGUUUGAGAGGAUUAUAAGAGGCCUUCUGGUAGGGGGUUUCUCGGAGGAUGCAAGCAAAUAUUUCAAAAUGAUGAGAUCUCGUGGCUUUGUUCCAUCAGCAACAGUCGAGGCCGGGGUCAGGGGCGUCGGUCGCCUGGCUGGCAGGUAG